CGACAGGCUAACACAUGCAAGUCGAGGGGCGAUCACGGGAGUAGCAAUACAACUGGUGGCGACCGGCGCACGGGUGAGUAACGCGUAUGCAACCUACCUAUCAGAGGGGAAUAACCCGGCGAAAGUCGGACUAAUACCGCAUAAAACAGGGGCACCGCAUGGUGAUAUUUGUUAAAGAAAUUCGCUGAUAGAUGGGCAUGCGUUCCAUUAGGUAGUUGGUGAGGUAACGGCUCACCAAGCCGACGAUGGAUAGGGGAACUGAGAGGUUGGUCCCCCACACUGGUACUGAGACACGGACCAGACUCCUACGGGAGGCAGCAGUGAGGAAUAUUGGUCAAUGGGCGGGAGCCUGAACCAGCCAAGUCGCGUGGAAAAGGGAAGAAGGAUCUAUGGUUCGUAAACUUCUUUUGCAGGGGAAUAAAGUGCAGGACGUGUCCUGUUUUGUAUGUACCCUGAGAAUAAGGAUCGGCUAACUCCGUGCCAGCCGCUGC
rnacentral:rRNA from 1 species